UCCCAUGUCCCAGCCCGGAGCGACGGCAUGAAGAAAUCCUCGUAUUCAGGAAUCACCCGGACCUCCAGCGGGAGACUUCGGAGGCUCAGUGACCAGACAAGCCCGACUGGGGAAAAUGGAGCAGCAGAGAAGCUGAAAGCUGUGCCCUGAGCAUUGCCUGUGAGUCCAGGGAUCCUUCCCCAUGGGCUCUGAAACUGAGAGAUGUGAGGCCAGGUGGGUGGA
rnacentral:lncRNA from 1 species